rnacentral:lncRNA from 1 species
CCCGUCGGACGGUGUGGAUCGCGCGUUCGUGCGCGGCUCCCUCGGCGGGAUCGACGGCCUGGACUGGAGGCCCCUUCGUGGGCCCCACUUGUGUGCCCGUUAGAUUUUUUUUUUUCUUUUCUUUUCUUAAUGCGGAUGAAGGGGAUGCCGCUGCAUGCGCAUUUGACGGAGAAAGCUAAAAUAGGUGGAAAUUCUUUGGUUCAGAUUUUUUUUUU